rnacentral:rRNA from 1 species
CCUACGGGUCGCAGCAGUGGGGAAUAUUGGACAAUGGGCGAAAGCCUGAUCCAGCCAUGCCGCGUGUGUGAAGAAGGCCUUCGGGUUGUAAAGCACUUUCAGUGGGGAAGAAAGCCUUGGGGCUAAUACCCUCGAGGAAGGACAUCACCCACAGAAGAAGCCCCGGCUAACUCCGUGCCAGCAGCCGCGGUAAUACGGAGGGUGCGAGCGUUAAUCGGAAUUACUGGGCGUAAAGCGCGCGUAGGCGGUCUGAUAAGCCGGUUGUGAAAGCCCCGGGCUCAACCUGGGAACGGCAUCCGGAACUGUCAGGCUAGAGUGCAGGAGAGGAAGGUAGAAUUCCCGGUGUAGCGGUGAAAUGCGUAGAGAUCGGGAGGAAUACCAGUGGCGAAGGCGGCCUUCUGGACUGACACUGACGCUGAGGUGCGAAAGCGUGGGUAGCAAACAGGAUUAGAUACCCCAGUAGUC